UGUGGAAUUUUGUGCACAUGGACGAAAGUCUGACGCAGCAACGCCGCGUGGGUGAUGAAGGUCUUCGGAUUGUAAAAACCUGUUUUCAGGGACGAAGGUUGGGGCCUUAAUACGGUUUCAACUAGACGGUACCUGGAGAGGAAGCCCCGGCUAAAUCUGUGCCAGCACCCGCGGUAAUACAGAGGGGGCAAGCGUUUUUAUGAAUUACUGGGGGUAAAGGGCGCGUAGGCGGUUCUUUAAGUCGGAUGUGCAAUAUCCGAGGUCAACUUGGGAAAUGCAUCUGAAACUGGGCAGCUAGAGUGUGGGAGAGGGUGGUGGAAUUUUCACGUGUAGCGGUGAAAAAUGUAGAGAUAUGGAGGAACACCAGUGGCGAAGGCGGCCACCCGGACAGUAACAGAGACGGAGGCGCGAAAGUCGGGUAGCAAACAGGAUUAGAUACCCUGGUAUUCCACACGCCAAACGAGGAACACUUGGUGUGGUGGGAGUUGACCCCUUCAGUGCCGGAGCUAACGCGUUAAGUGUCCGCCUG
rnacentral:rRNA from 1 species